rnacentral:rRNA from 1 species
GACGAACGCUGGCGGCGUGCUUAACACAUGCAAGUCGAACGGAAAGGCCCUGCUUUUGUGGGGUGCUCGAGUGGCGAACGGGUGAGUAACACGUGAGUAACCUGCCCUUGACUUUGGGAUAACUUCAGGAAACUGGGGCUAAUACCGGAUAGGAGCUCCUGCUGCAUGGUGGGGGUUGGAAAGUUUCGGCGGUUGGGGAUGGACUCGCGGCUUAUCAGCUUGUUGGUGGGGUAGUGGCUUACCAAGUCAUUGACGGGUAGCCGGCCUGAGAGGGUGACCGGCCACAUUGGGACUGAGAUACGGCCCAGACUCCUACGGGAGGCAGCAGUGGGGAAUAUUGCACAAUGGGCGGAAGCCUGAUGCAGCAACGCCGCGUGCGGGAUGACGGCCUUCGGGUUGUAAACCGCUUUCGCCUGUGACGAAGCGUGAGUGACGGUAAUGGGUAAAGAAGCACCGGCUAACUACGUG